UUGUCACAUGCUGAAUAACCGCUGGGCUGGGCCUUUUCCGCCUGCUAUCCACACACCACCUGCCAGGCCCACUAACACACAUUCAUUUUAUUUUCAUUUCUUUUCUUAUUUCCAUUUUUAUUUUUCUGUUUUGUUUUUUAAUUAAUAAAAAUAUUUUAUUUGUUCAUAAAAAUACCAAAAAAUAUUUUUUACUUUCCUUAAUGUUUUA
rnacentral:lncRNA from 1 species